AGGGACGGGACGCGCUCCGGGACGCGCAGGGUACCAAAACGCACGAGGGGCAGAGCUAGCGGGGGCGAUGGGGAGCUCGCAGCCGCUGUGCGCUCGAGCUGCCGGCAGCAGUGCACGCUGAGCGAUGCGGCCGGGAGAGCCCCGAUGUGCGGUGGCCGCGCUGAGGCACCGCGGGGGGAGCGGUCCUUCGGAGCGGUCGUUCUCUCCGUGCCCCACCCCGGGGGCAGCGGCGGUACCCGGAGCGCGGCGCCCGCACGGGGCUGCGGGGGGGACACGUCAGAACGAACAUCGCGCCGCCGCACAGCGCACGUUUUCAAACCGGGAGCAAAAAUAUAACUGGAAAUGACGUCUGGGUGCGGGGGACAUUUCGGAGACUUCAUUUAGAGCUUUACGACAGCUUAUGCAAACUUCACUCCCCCUUCGCUUCCCCCUCGCGGUGCCCGACUGCUCUUUGGAGAACUGCCUCUCAAACCCAGCCCGACCCUCCCCAGCACGAGGUGAGGCACGAGGUGAGGCCGUCACCUCCCGUCCUAUGGCUGGUUACGAUAUUAACCCCAACGCUGUGGCUGCAGGAGCCGCAUCAGUGCAAAGGAAGCCGGUUCCUUCUAAUUGCUGCAGCUCAAUUUACCCAAUCCUUCUUGCUCCUGGAGAGACUCGCAGACUGAGAACGUCUGUCUCCUGUCGCAUGGGAUGAGGUGUCUUUGCGACAUACUGUAGAUGAAGGCCACAUCACCCCUCCUGACUUCUUGGC
rnacentral:lncRNA from 1 species